rnacentral:rRNA from 1 species
GACGAACGCUGGCGGCGUGCUUAACACAUGCAAGUCGAACGGAAAGGCCCUGCUUUUGUGGGGUGCUCGAGUGGCGAACGGGUGAGUAACACGUGAGUAACCUGCCCUUGACUUUGGGAUAACUUCAGGAAACUGGGGCUAAUACCGGAUAGGAGCUCCUGCUGCAUGGUGGGGGUUGGAAAGUUUCGGCGGAUGGGGAUGGACUCGCGGCUUAUCAGCUUGUUGGUGGGGUAGUGGCUUACCAAGGCUUUGACGGGUAGCCGGCCUGAGAGGGUGACCGGCCCCAUUGGGACUGCGAUACGGCCCAGACUCCUACGGGAGGCAGCAGUGGGGAAUAUUGCACAAUGGGCGGAAGCCUGAUGCAGCAACGCCGCGUGCGGGAUGACGGCCUUCGGGUUGUAAACCGCUUUCGCCUGUGACGAAGCGUGAGUGACGGUAAUGUGUAAAGAAGCACCGGCUAACUACGUG